rnacentral:rRNA from 1 species
AUUGAACGCUGGCGGCAGGCCUAACACAUGCAAGUCGAACGGUAACAGGAAGCAGCUUGCUGCUUUGCUGACGAGUGGCGGCCGGGUGAGUAAUGUCUGGGAAACUGCCCGAUGGAGGGGGAUAACUACUGGAAACGGUAGCUAAUACCGCAUAACGUCGCAAGACCAAAGAGGGGGACCUUAGGGCCUCUUGCCAUCGGAUGUGCCCAGAUGGGAUUAGCUAGUAGGUGGGGUAACGGCUCACCUAGGCGACGAUCCCUAGCUGGUCUGAGAGGAUGACCAGCCACACUGGAACUGAGACACGGUCCAGACUCCUACGGGAGGCAGCAGUGGGGAAUAUUGCACAAUGGGCGCAAGACUGAUGCAGACAUGCCGCGUGUAUGAAGAAGGCCUUCGGGUUGUAAAGUACUUUCAGCGGGGAGGAAGGGAGUAAAGUUAAUACCUUUGCUCAUUGACGUUACCCGCAGAAGAAGCACCGGCUAACUCCGUG